rnacentral:rRNA from 1 species
UACGUAGGGGGCGAGCGUUGUCCGAAGUUACUGGGCGUAAAGCGCGCGUAGGCGGGUUUGCAAGUCGGAGGUGAAAGGCUGUGGCUCAACCACAUGCAGUGCCUCCGAUACUGUAGGUCUUGAGUGCGGUAGGGAGAAGUGGAAUGGCUGGUGUAGCGGUGAAAUGCGUAGAUAUCAGUCGGAACACCGGUGGCGAAGGCGGCUUCUUGGGCCGUUACUGACGCUGAUGCGCGAAAGCCAGGGGAGCGAACGGG